UACGAAGGGGGCUAGCGUUGUUCGGAAUUACUGGGCGUAAAGCGCGCGCAGGCGGCUAUCCAAGUCAGUGGUGAAAGCCCGGGGCUCAACCCCGGAAUUGCCUUUAAGACUGCAUCGCUUGAAUCCAGGAGAGGUGAGUGGAAUUCCGAGUGUAGAGGUGAAAUUCGUAGAUAUUCGGAAGAACACCAGUGGCGAAGGCGGCUCACUGGUCCGGUACUGACGCUGAGGUGCGAAAGCGUGGGGAGCAAACAGG
rnacentral:rRNA from 1 species